UACGUAGGUGGCGAGCGUUGUCCGGAUUUACUGGGCGUAAAGAGCGCGCAGGCGGUCGUUCAAGUCGCGUGUGAAAGCCCCCGGCUCAACUGGGGAGGGUCACGCGAUACUGAUCGACUCGAAGGCAGGAGAGGGUAGUGGAAUUCCCGGUGUAGUGGUGAAAUGCGUAGAUAUCGGGAGGAACACCGGUGGCGAAGGCGGCUUCCUGGCCCGUAACUGACGCUGAGGCGCGAAAGCGUGGGGAGCAAACAGG
rnacentral:rRNA from 1 species